CAAGUUAUUUUACGUACGGAAAUAAGUCGAAAAUGUAGAAUAACACUUUUUCAUGGGACGCUCUAUUUCCAAGAAAAUGAAAUUUGAAACUUUGUCAAAUAUACUUAAAUCUGGCCAAUUCUGAACUGGAGAGAGCUAAAUAAUUUACAGGAGCUUGUUCUACGUGUUAAGAUAAACCAAAAGUUAGAAUAAAAGUUUUUAAUAGGGCGUUCAGUUUUCAAGUAGAUGAAAGCGUGACUUUGGACGAGAAAACUUUAUUUUACAUUUUAAAUUUGUUUUCUCACGUAGAACCGCUGCUUUACCAAAUGUACCAUGGUUACUGGAACACCCUGUACUUCACGCGAGGCAAUAUCGCUGAAGCGACCCUUAAAAAAUGAUUUUCGUCAUAAUCUACCGGCUCUCCGCAGAAUAAUUUGCCCCAAGACGAUAUCCUAAGAAAGCCAGCCUGUGGUUUAUAAUCCACCUUGUAUUUCCAUACAAAUUAACGACGCACUUCUGGGCCUGGACACGAAAUUUCUGGCAUCUUUCGAGACCAACAGAGAGGGAGAGAGAGAGGUUGGACGCCUUUUUCACGACACAAAGGAAAAGCCGGCUAUUUGUCUGCCUCCCCUGGCUGGUCUCUGUUAUUAAAGCCCUUCGUGUCUUUAUUUCACUGGGCCAUUGUCGAGCUUGGGAAAAAGCUUGUGCCGGAGUUUGCCUCUAGUUUGAUAGCUCCAAAACAGAAAUGGGAAUUUCAGACGACUUGUCUUCCUGGAAAUAAGUUUAGCCCACAGUGUCUUUAAUUUGAUAGAAGAUGGACGCUUUGUCGCAACUUUUUAUCUGGCCAUACAAUUUCUAGUAUUUUCUAGGGACAUUUUUAUUUGCUACUGGAUAAUUAUCAUAGUGGUAUCGCUUUGUGACUCUUCUAUGAGUGAAAAUAGUUAGAUGAUGAAAUGUUUAAUCGUUUCCUUUGACUUCCUCAAAUUUAAGUGUUUAUGACAAACAGAGCUCAAAUAAAAUGACGAAAUUGUGCUACAUUUAGUAAGUAUAAAGUUUACGAGUGAGAAAUAGAUUAGGAUGGACUGAUGUUGAAGUGUGAAGUUCUAACAGAGUGUGCAAGUACUUUGAAACAGCUUAAAAUAACAGUUCAGCGAUGUCGUCAUUGACCCAGACUGACAGAAGGAAAAUGGAGUAUUUCAUGACGGCCAGGCCAUCGAGUGAAUCGUUGGUUAGGUUUUAACAAUGCUGCUUGUGACCGAGGCAACAACUUAUUUUCGUGUAGCUCGUGAAACUUGUAUGUAAUAUCGCUACAAAGAGCUGAGAACUAGGCCAACCACGCAAAUGUGCCCAAAUGAAGUGCAUUCCUGCAUUCAGACAGUAUGGCAAGAAUCUCUUCACUUCAAAGUUGCCUUUCUUUGUUACCAAAACAUGGGACACAUCAAUACAUUUUGAAGUUUUUGACAGGUAUCUCGAAUUAUGAAAAAGAAAAUCCCCGAAAAUUAGAUCACUGUUAUCAUUCAGAUGUUAUCUUAAACCGGAGAGUCCCUGUGGUUAAGCUCAGGCCUUCUAAAUAGCAUAGUGAAGUUCCUGGAAUUAAGGAGAAAGAGGCAAACGGAGACAGGUCCAAUUAUCAGGCUAAUGCAAUCGUCUGAAGCGUCCCCGAAAUUCCUGCGAAACCGAAUUCGUAUUCAGGAUUCUACUAUGCGCAUGGACGAGCAUCAGAACAGCCCAGCAACAACAACAACAACCAACAGAUGCACUUGCUGUGCAUGCAACGAUGUGCAGCUAAGCGUGCGUGUUAACGCACGCUGUCGUGUGGAUGCAGCCUGUUCUCUAUGGGCUCUUCCUGGCCUACGUACAACGCUCUUGCGGAUUUAGUUCUGCUUUUUGACACCGCGAUUGCGAAACGACUUGACAAUGGAUUGGAAAACGAAGGGGCUCGUUGAGUUGAAAUUCUCCAACCGUUCGCUCAAUAUUUUUCCCACGCUGAUUCUACCAAUUGUACGUAACUCAAAGAGGUUACACGGAUCUUACGAGGAGAUAGAAAUAUCAGACAUGGAAAUGGCAACAUCGUGGAGUAAUUUUUUAAAUGUUUCAAAGAUCAGCCACUAAGAUGAUAAUAGCCACGUAGACCCGCAUGACAAAAUGCCGAAUUGAAACAAUUUUGUGGCAAGUGUUAAUUCUGAUUCUUUAACGUUACAAUGGCUGUUGGAAAGCUUCUUUUUAAUAGCCACGUGGAAAGAUGAUACGCCUGGCCAUUAAUUUGUACAAAGGAAUUUCACCAACCAUACGACGACCGCGUAACUUGGAUUUCUCAUAAAAACGUGGUAACAAUACUUCCUGGCGUUUUAGCAAAGAAAAAGAUUGAAACACCGGAUUAACAGGAAUAGAGAGAAAUGGUAAUCGAAAAUGGUGGCCGCGGGGCUCGCUCUGCGCUAUUCCCCCGGAAACAAUAGGCAACCCACGAGCGUCACGUGUGCAAAUCCAAGUGCAUUUCGUUGGGCGUGGAACAAUUGGAAGACCGCUAAUGAAAACGACCGCCGACCGGAUCAGAUUUAAUUUUAUUAAUAACCAAUAGCAUCUACCAGGCUACCAAUGAACGAAGAGCUACGAUUCCUCGAGUGAUCUUACGCGUUCGAUUUACGGCACAUAAAUUCGUUGAGGCAUGCCUUAUCGUGUACCCCUUAGGGACUUCCGACUGGCUGACCCAAAUGUUCCAUCCGGAUUGACCCAGUUUCUCCUCCGAACGUCCUCGAGGUAUCUGUCUCGUUUAUCUGCACGGAAGGCAACCUUCCGUUUCGCCGUUUCAGUUUUAUCGUUGGAACGGCGAACAUUCCACGAAAAUGCGAAUUGGGCAAAUUUAACUUAUUAACCAGGGAACGCCAGUUAACCGUUUCUAACCACUUGGACAUAAUUUUUUAUUCGAAUCCGCAAUAUUUUAGUCCAUCGAUUUAGUUCUGCUAACCUGUGCAGAUAAAUUCCACGGCAUUUAUACUCGUUGCGGUGGAAAUCGACAUUUUCGAGAUUUUGCGACAGAAGACGGGCAACGUUAUAUAAAAUUAGUAAAAGUUUUCGUUCGUGGUUAUUCGUUAACCGUAACAGAUUGAACGAAUCCCCCGCUCUCAUCAGACAACACAGCUUGUUUGUUUCAAUUAUUGGAAGCUAUGGAUUGAAAACAAGAUAUAAACAAAAAAAAAAAAAAUGAUAAAAAACACAGGUCGCAAUUCUAGCACUGUGUAUUAUAUUUUAUGAACGAACGACAUUCCAACAGCUUUCAUAAACAUUAAUACUGCGAAGAGAAGCAGUUAGUGUUUAUAUUUCAUCUUGCUCGUGGUUUUCUCUACUUUGAUGAAGGAACUUGAUACGCCACUAGAAGCGAUUUUACGUUGAGAAGAAUUUCAACCAUUUUCCACCAAAAUAUUUUCACCAGAAGCAUAAAAUAUAGUCAAAUUUUCGAUAAAUUAACAAGAUUUAUAACCAACCUUUUUCGUUUGCAUUCCACUCUACUCGAAAGUCUAGUAUUCUAUUUUAUAUUUCUUGUCGUCGAUUGUUUAUUAUUCAACGCAAGAAUACGUCGUUGUGAAUGUAUUAAAAUUUCAAUGAGAAAUUACCAAUUGGUCGGUGCAAGCAUUCUAACGAUUUCUCAAUUAAAUAAGUGAAAUAAAAUAAAACGAGAAAGGCAAAUAAAUUCGACGGAGUCGUAGCCGGUUUCGUAGGGGGUGGGCAGACGAGCUAAAUGAAUAAUCGUGGCAGUGGUUAAGCGUUCCUGGCUCGAAACUAAUUCGAGUUUCCUAAUGCCCGAUGUCGCGAGGACGCCAGCAAUUCCUGGGGCUAGGGCCGGUAUUUUCGAUUCAGACGCGCGCUACUCGAAAUCGUUCGAGCGUGCUUAAACAUUAACGUCCACUGGCGGAUUGUUACCGGUCCGUUAGUCCGUACGAUCCGCAUUCACAGAGUCAUCGGUGGCCGCCGGUCGUAGCGUCGAAAUUGCGUCAAUUAUUCGAGGAAGCCGGCUUGGCCCGCAAAUUGCGCGUUCCUCGCUGCUUCCACAGAGUUUUCAGUUUAUUGCAGACGUUUCGAAGGAACGUCCCCGACCACAAAUCCACGGAGAUCGUAACAGGAUUCGAAGAACGACGAGUUUCCCAUUCAGCCAUUAAAGCAUGCAAAUAAGAGGAGUCAGAAGAUUGAUGAAAUUAAUUAAUGCGUUUCUUCAAGAAAUUCGUUUUACCUGUGGAUGGCAUGUAUCUCGUUGCAAUUUCUUAUAUGUUAAUUUGCUUACGUUUAACUUCGCGAUUGCACGUGAUAUUUCAGACCAAAUGUAAUAUCCAGACCACUGUGGUAGAGCUGCGUCUAUCUCAACCGCGUUUAUUGGAACGAAAAUUUAGUUCACGCUUGAUUAACCGAGCCCCUGCCGAUUGAAUUUCUUGAGAAUUUUGGAUCUUAAUAGCCGAAAUAAUGGUAUAGGAACACUAAAUCUACACUUAGAAUUUAUAUUACAAUAAUUCUAUAUUUAUUGGAUAAGCGAUUUCAGAGAUAUUCAUCGAUACACAUUUGCACGCGUCUCAGCACUUUCUUCUAUCUCUGUUAACCGACUGAACAGUUUACCUUCGUUUGUCUCUUCGAGACGCCGCGCACACACAUACUUGCGUACACACAUACUUGCGUACACUGAUAUUUACAUACAAGUAUUACUACUACGCAUCUGACCUAGUCUAACACAUAAACAUAUACAUAUCUCGGUAGAAUUCAAUGAACGUGAGCUUCUAUUAUGUGAAAAUAUUAUUAUUAGAUAGCGAAGAAAAUUGACGAGCUCCUAUUAUAGGAACUGCAAUUUUACAAACUGUCCCGCUACGACCACUUACUUAACUUCAUAGUUAGGUAUAGUAAUUCAAUCGUAAUCUAAUACUUAUGUAGACUAAUAUAAAUUUAUAUUCAUGUUAAAUCAUCUUAAAUGAAAUUUCAUAUGCAGAAGCGAAGCUAUUUAGUACAAUAAGUAUGGAGGAAGCGAGGCAAAAACUGAGACCCUUGCUGAGGAGCCAUUGGAAGGGAAAGUGUGUACAAGGAGGUUUGAAGAGCAGGGGAACUCGGAUGAAAGGGUGUGCCAUGGCCUAAUGCGAGCGAACAAACCAUUAAACUACACUCAGCCGGUACUCCACUGAUUAUAACCCAUUAGACAUGACAUGUGUGCAUUAAACGAGUUAUCGCGCGCGUAGACUGUUCCCUGCUACACGAUCGGAACCAUCCUGUUGGCUGACGUGGAUGAACCUAAUAAUUCCAAUGGGAGAGACGUUCUAUUCAGUGAUUUAAAUCGGGACAGACUAUACUAUCAUGGAAUAAUAAAUCUCUGCUCUUUUUUCACGAUGUUUGAGGAUGUUUGAGGAUGUUUGAGGAUGUUUGAGCACGUAAUUCGAUCAUCAAUGGAUCUACGAUAAGUUUUUAUUUUCUACGAUUGUUACAGCUAUGUCAUAGGUAAACUGUUACAGCCAUAGCAGAACGUUAUGAUGCUGCAAAAUUGAUUUUUAAAUAGCAACGAGCAAUGAUCUCUGAAAAGCUCUUAAUUCCUCUGGUUCCUAAGGUAUGAAUCAUUGUUAAAAAUAAAUUUACAGAGAAGUUUACAGAAAAUAUUUUUCAGAAUAUUCAAAUUUAUAAUUUGCCAAUUCCUUAGGAUCAAAUGAUCAAAUGUUCAAUCCUAAUCAUCAAUGUUUGCAUUAAUUUUGGUAACAUCUUUUGACAAUUUUCCCUUUUUUGCCAAGUUUUGGUAAAAUUUAAUAUUCGUUGGUAUAAUUUCAUAUUUUGCCCUUAAUAAAAUUGAUUACUUUUAUGUACUAAUUUUCAUAUAUAAAUAUUGGGUUGGUCAAAAUAAACGAGGAUUAAAAAAUUGUUAAAUCAAGUUUUAGGUUAGCCUGCUUGAUUAGAAGGGGAGAAUGAUACGAGGAAAAAAGUUUCAGCGUCACGGAAGUUCUGUAAGGACAGGAGGAGGGCGAGUGACCGACGAACGAGUUGGAAAAAGUUAGGGGAAUGAACCGAGUGCGCUUUCGGGGAUAACGAAUCGUCGUUCGAACGUUUCUGGAGCACGCUUCGGCUUUAAUUCCAGGGAAUUGGCAAGUUCAUCCAGGCCAAGUAUCGCUAAAGGGCAGGCUCCUCGUCGAAGCUGCUUCUAGGUUUCCAAUCGACGCCUUGAUUUCCUCCGAAACGAUCCGCACGUACGAAAGAAAUUACCAUAAAAAACUUUGCAAUCGAAUUAAAUUUCUCUUCAAAAAAUUUCAAGAUGAGAAGAUUUCCAAUAAGAAAAGAAUUGAUGAAAAAGUAUCUGUGCUGUAAUUUAAGCAUAAGUAACGCAUUAAAAAUUGUUCGAACAAUGUUUUUAACCAACCAAAUACGUAAAAGUGAUAAAACACAUAUUAUGAUAUAGAAAGGGCAAUGAAAUAGUAGUAAAUGUCAUUUCAAGCAAAAUGAGUCAGAGGUAAAUCUAUAGAUGGUAUAUUCGAUAUUACUGACAGGCCAUCUAGGUAUAUUUCAUUUUUCAGUGAACCUUUCAGCCGAGUACAAUUCGUAAGAUUAAUGUUCUUUUCAAUUUGAAUAUAUUUUGCACGAUGGAGAAUCACCCAUUGCUGUUUUAAUAAUUCAGCCUUCACCUCCUAGGUUGGCUGACCUUAAAACGUCCAACGUUACUGGCAGCCGUCUGACGCGACACGUUCCGCGACUACUUGUACCGUUCGAUAGAACGUCGACCUCUAUCACUGACAGACUCGUCUAGUAGCGAGGCGUCGCAUUAGUCAGCCAGAAGAGCUGCGAGCAAACGGAAGGAUAAUAAAUACCGCGCGCCACUUGUUGCUCUUAUUUCAGCAGAAUCAAAGAUACCACCAGCUUCUUCAGACUCUAGGAAAUGCUAUAGGAAGAAGUACUCGGUCCAAUCUGGCCACUGUUUCCCUUGUGGAGAAUUAUGGAUGCUGGUAGCAGAGGGCCCAACAGCUCAGAAGAAAAACAGGAUUAAUAAUUGUUGGAUCGAAAGUACGGAGUUGGAAUGACGGAACAAAUAUUUGGACGGAAGUGGUUCCCGGACGAAAGCGAUUUCAUCGAGUCCCAGGAGGCACGUACUUGCCGGGGGACUUCGGACGCGGCUUCCCCUCGGCCCUUUCAUCGUGCCGGAGUUCGACAAGUUCGACAAUACUGGCUCAUCAGGCCAUUGUCGGCCAGAUGACCGGAGGGGUUGAACCUCCCGUUCUUUUUUGGACCUCCCACUUUGCCAGCUCAUAACUUUAGCUUCAAAAACCGCCCGAAAUUCGUGCCUCCAGACUGGAAUACCCCCUUAACGAAUCCGAUGGUCUGGUACAGUUCUCCUUCGCAGCAUCAUCGUGACAGAAAGAGAGUACCUCGACGUAUCUUGAACAGUCAGCAUCUUAACUUCUACCGCGCUCUCUGCUCAAUCGCUACCUUAACUUAUCGUCUAUCGGUCGAGUUGUAACCACCAAGUGCGAAUCGUCAAUUGUGAUCGCGAGCUCUAUGUAAAGUGUCGAAAGCGAGAAGUAUUAAUAAAUAUACUGUUCAAAC